rnacentral:rRNA from 1 species
UACGUAGGCAGCAAGCGUUGUUCGGAGUUACUGGGCGUAAAGGGUGCGUAGGCGGCUUUUUAAGUUUUGGUGUGAAAUCUCCCGGCUCAACUGGGAGGGUGCGCCGAAUACUGAGAGGCUAGAGUGUGGGAGAGGAAAGUGGAAUUCCUGGUGUAGCGGUGAAAUGCGUAGAUAUCAGGAGGAACACCGGUGGUGUAAACGGCUUUCUGGACCAUAACUGACGCUGAGGCACGAAAGCGUGGGUAGCAAACAGG